rnacentral:rRNA from 1 species
CAAUAGCGUAUAUUUAAGUUGUUGCAGUUAAAAAGCUCGUAGUCGGAUUUUGGCUGAGAACGAUCGGUCCGCCGUUAGGUGUGCACUGAUUGGUCUCAGCUUCCUGGUGAGGAGGUGUGCUUCACGGCCACUUAGUCACCGUGGUUACUUUGAAAAAAUUAGAGUGUUCAAAGCGGGCUUACGCUUGAAUAUAUUAGCAUGGAAUAACACCAUAGGACUCCUGUCCUAUUUCGUUGGUCUCGGGACGGGAGUAAUGAUUAAGAGGAACAGUUGGGGGCAUUCGUAUUUCAUUGUCAGAGGUGAAAUUCUUGGAUUUAUGAAAGACGAACCUCUGCGAAAGCAUUUGCCAAGGAUGUUUUCAUUGA